GAUGAACGCUGACAGAAUGCUUAACACAUGCAAGUCAACUGUGGAGGACGGGUGAGUAACGCGUAAAGAACUUGCCUCACGGAUAGGGACAACAUUUGGAAACGAAUGCUAAUACCUGAUACUGUGAGAGAGCUUUGCGUCCCAUUAGCUAGUUGGAGAGGUAACGGCUCACCAAGGCGAUGAUGGGUAGCCGGACUGAGAGGGUGAUCGGCAACAAGGGGACUGAGACACGGCCCUUACUCCUACGGGCGGAAGCAGUGGGGAAUAUGGGACAAUGGACCAAAGUCUGAUCCAGCAAUUCUGUGUGCACGAUGAAGUUUUCGGAAUGUAAAGUGCUUUCAGUUGGGAAGCGGUACCAACAGAAGAAGUGACGGCUAAAUACGUGCCAGCAGCCGCGGUAAUUC
rnacentral:rRNA from 1 species